rnacentral:ncRNA from 2 species
UGAAAUGUAAUGAAUAGGAGAAGUAAGUCAGAAUGGUCUUUUAGAGAGCUGAGGGUUGGUGAAACUCAGUAGGCGGACUGGCUGAAAUACACCUAUGAACAGCAGGCUGAAAGUGUGCAGUAGUAAGCCGGGCCGGAGCCACCGUUAUAUGGCUGGAAGUUUUUUAACUUCGCUUGAGUGGCUUAUUGCAGCAACAAGGGUGGUACCACGGGUUUACUCCCGUCCCUGAC